rnacentral:rRNA from 1 species
GAACCUUGAGACAGGUGCUGCAUGGCUGUCGUCAGCUCGUGUUGUGAAAUGUAGGGUUAAGUCCCGUAACGAGCGCAACCCUUAUCCUUAGUUGCCAGCGGUUCGUGGGGGAAAUUAAAGGAAAAUGGCCGGGAAAAAAUGGAGGAAAGGGGGGAUUAACUCAAAGUUUCCUGGGCCCUACGAGCCGGGGUAAAAAACGGGUAAAACGGGCGAUACAAAUAGAUGGCCCCUCCUGACAGCGGGAGCACUC